UACGUAGGGGGCAAGCGUUGUCCGGAUUUAUUGGGCGUAAAGAGCGUGUAGGCGGUUUGGUAGGUCCGCUGUGAAAACUCGAGGCUCAACCUCGAGACGCCGGCGGAAACCAUCAGACUAGAGUCCGGAAGAGGAGAGUGGAAUUCCUGGUGUAGCGGUGAAAUGCGCAGAUAUCAGGAAGAACACCCGUGGCUAAGGCGGCUCUCUAGUACGGUACUGACGCUGAGACGCGAAAGCGUGGGGAGCGAACAGG
rnacentral:rRNA from 1 species